UAAAAGAGAUAAUUGAAGAUACAAAUGAGUUCCAUUAAGCCGAGAGGCUUAUUAGCAAAUAGGGUGAAUUGCAAGAAUCUCUCUAAGUAUAGAGACAACUUGCAGCGAAGCGUAUAUCAGUGUUUUAAUAGAUGUACGAACGUUCAACGACUAAUCGGUGAGCCGCACUAGCAAUAAUCCGGACACGAGUGCCCUACUACCAACUAAUUAUUCUGGUAGAUGACAUAGUCUAAUCUUGCUAGUGAUAGUAAG
rfam:Glomus irregulare strain DAOM-197198 mitochondrion, complete genome.